rnacentral:rRNA from 1 species
AGCUCCAAUAGCGUAUAUUAAAGUUGUUGCAGUUAAAAAGCUCGUAGUUGGAUUUCGGACUGGAGUAGGUCGGUCGGCCGCAAGGUCUGUCACUGACCUGCUCUGUCUUCUUCCCAGAGUCCUGCCGUGUACUUAACUGUGCGCGGUACCUGGAAUUUGGGACGUUUACUUUGAAAAAAUUAGAGUGUUCAAAGCAGGCUUGUCACGCCCGAAUACAUGAGCAUGGAAUAAUGGAAUAGGACUGCGGUCUUAUUUUGUUGGUUUCUGAGACCGAAGUAAUGAUUAAGAGGGACAAUUGGGGGCAUCCGUAUUUCGUUGUCAGAGGUGAAAUUCUUGGAUUUACGAAAGACGAACAACUGCGAAAGCAUUUGCCAAGAGUGUUUUCAUUAAUCAAGAACGA